GACGAACUGCCCAAACGUUGUUCGGAAUCACUGGGCUUAAAGGGCGCGUAGGCGGCGAUAAAAGUCAGGGGUGAAAUCCGGCAGCUCAACUGUCGAAGUGCCUUUGAUACUUUAUCGCUCGAGGGAGGUAGGGGUGUGUGGAACUUCUGGUGGAGCGGUGAAAUGCGUUGAUAUCAGAAGGAACGCCGGUGGCGAAAGCGACGCACUGGACCUCUUCUGACGCUGAGGCGCGAAAGCUAGGGGAGCAAACGGG
rnacentral:rRNA from 1 species